rnacentral:rRNA from 1 species
UACGGAGGGUGCAAGCGUUAGUCGGAAUUACUGGGCGUAAAGGGUGCGUAGGCGGGUGAGCAAGUCACAUGUGAAAUUCCGGGGCUCAACCUCGGAGCUGCAUGUGAAACUGCUCAUCUAGUGGAAUGGCGGAGAAAAUGGAAUUCCAUGUGUAGCGGUGAAAUGCGUAGAUAUAUGGAAGAACACCUGUGGCGAAAGCGGUUUUCUAGCCUACUCCAGACGCUGAGGCACGAAAGCAAGGGGAUCAAACAGG